rnacentral:rRNA from 1 species
UACGUAGGGAGCAAGCGUUGUCCGGAAUCAUUGGGCGUAAAGCGCGCGUAGGCGGCCCCGUAAGUCCGCUGUGAAAGUCAAAGGCUCGACCUUUGAAAGCCGGUGGAUACUGUGGGGCUAGAGUCCGGAAGAGGCGAGUGGAAUUCCUGGUGUAGCGGUGGAAUGCGCAGAUAUCAGGAGGAACACCAAUAGCGAAGGCAGCUCGCUGGGACGGUACUGACGCUAAGGCGCGAAAGCGUGGGGAGCGAACAGG